rnacentral:rRNA from 1 species
UACGGAGGGGGCAAGCGUUAUUCGGAAUUAUUGGGCGUAAAGGGCGCGUAGGCGGCUUUGCAAGUGACGGGUGAAAUCCCUCGGCUUAACCGGGGAACUGCCUGUCAAACUGCAUGGCUUGAGACCGGGAGAGGUGAGUGGAAUUCCCAGUGUAGCGGUGAAAUGCGUAGAUAUUGGGAGGAACACCAGUGGCGAAGGCGGCUCACUGGACCGGUACUGACGCUGAGUCGCGAAAGCGUGGGUAGCAAACAGG